rnacentral:lncRNA from 1 species
UGCAGCCCCUUAAGCAGAGAAGGAGAUGGGUUAUCAGGUGAAUGAGGAAGGGUCUGGGAGCUUCCGUUUUACCCUAAGGUUCUAGGAUUCUCUGACAUCCACGGGGGAGUCUCCCCUGGGAGCAGCUGAACUGAGCAGUGGCUUCUAAAGAAAGGUCACAGCCACAAAGACCUUUGUAAAGCAACAGCCUGAGUUCCUGGGAGGUCCAAUGCCUUGAUCUGGUGAACAGCGUUAGCAGAAGCCAAGAGCUGGAAUCCACAUGCACUUUGUCCCAAGGACUGUAUGUAAGGGGACUCAAACAUAAGACAGGGUUCCUGCCCUCGGCACAGAGGAUGGGGAAAGCCAGCGCAAAUUAGGCGGGAGAGCUGAAAUUCAGCGGAACAGUCACAAGGAUUACAAAGCAAACUUAACCAGUAGCGCUUCCUCACCGCCUCCCCCGCAAAAAAGUGUUUUUCUCCGGGGCCCAACCAGGGUUCCGGAAAGAGGUGGGCCCCUCCCAGUCUGCAGUGCAAAGUCUACAGAGGAAGAGGGGACUAUUAUUCAAAUCACGACAGCACCAUGCCAUCCAUUCCGCCAGAGCAGAGGCUCCCCUAGCUCCCCCAGUCCUGGGAAACCAGCGACCACUGGAAGCAUGAGGUCCGGCUUCAGCAGGCAUCUUUUCACCCAGAUGGUGAUGUCUGGGCUUUGCCAGAGCUGACACAUGCAGGGAUCUCUGGUCAGAGAAACUCCAGAAGAAAUGUCCUUCCUCACCAUCUGGGUAGGCACUAAUGCACAGCCACCCAAACGGCAGGUGGGGAAGUCAGGUAUGUAUAAAUGCAAUACAAGAUUUGUGCUCUGUUUGGGCAAAGGGCCAGAAAAACGCAGAAAAGAAGGGACUGAUUCUCCAGAGUGAAGUAUGAAGGCUUCUUGGAGGAGGUGACUGACAUGAACCUUAAGGGAUAAAUAACGGCCUAACAGAGCUGCAAAAAACAGAAAAG